GCUCACCUGCCUGGCACGGCGGAAACAAGACCCCGGAAAGGGUCCGUAGGGUUGGCGAGAAAUGUGAGUGAUCUCCCCGUGUGUGACAGGGUCUCCCCAGAGGCAGGCAGGUGAGAGGGCUGCCCUGGGGGUAUAUAGUCCGAAUCCUGCGAUUAUCAUGUUUUAUUUUUGUAUUACAGUAAGCCAUAAAGACGGCUUUGAACAUUCUUUCUUCUGGAUCGGCGUGGCGCCCCCCAGUGUUCCUGUGUCGAUUCCCAACCGCGCUGUUCUAUGCUGUAGUCAUUGACCACGUUUGCUCAUCUUAAUUUGCGUUAACUGAAGUAUAAAUCCAGUUCCUCCGCUAUCACAGAACCUCGAAGGACACCCUGAUUAGGUGGCUGCUAAUAAAAUGAGAGGGAGGGGUUCAGAAGAUGCAGAGGGCAGGGACCAGGCCAGGUCCUGCUGCUGCAUGGCCAGGUGAGCUGUGGCUGCCAGCCUUGAAGUCUGUGGGCACCCCAAACUCUCCAGUCUGAAUUUGCAGGGCCUUGGUGUAUGUCUGCUAUAGAACCUGACACCUGACAUUUGAACGGAAGUGCUGGGCUCUGCUUGGCUGGCGGGAUGGACUAGUUCCUCCUGGCUAGGGGUUGUGGUGGUGCUUUCUCCCCUGGACUCCCAUGGGGAUGGGAGCUUCCACUCUUGGUUGCCUGCAGCGGAGAAUAAACCUAUGAAAGAGUGAUCAACAGGCCCAAGAAUGCUGUGGGGUUGCCAAGCCCUGUGCUUCAGUUCAGCUCCACCAUACAGCCCUUGACCAAAUGGAAGGCAGGACCAUGACGGGCCGGCUAACCCAACAAGUCCUGUCCCCUCCCUCCUCCACUCGGCCAGCCUGCCAGCCCCAGGGUCCAGCACCUCCUGCUUGGGGUAGGGCAGCAAUGGGUGUUACAGAACAGUGCGUGGGUGAAAGUUGUCUUCAAGCUCAGUACACACCACUCUAUCCAAUGUAAGAGUAUGAAGUUUACUGAUACGGUUUCAGAUUCACUCUGCAGCCAACUUUUAAGAAACUAUCCCUCAUUUAGUAUUAAAGACCAAGAUGUUAAAAUAUACUUUUUCCAACUGUGUGGCUAUGUGAGGCUAGAUUUUCUCAUAUGCUUCCACCAUUCUCACUGAUUCUUCUUUUUUUUAGGAAACUGUCAUUGUUUUCCAUUUUAUUUUUUUGUUUUUCAUUUUAAGAUGUUAAUAUGUGACAGGUGUAUCAGUUCAGUUCAGUCGCUCAGUCGUGUCCGACUCUUUGCGACCCCAUGAACCUCAGCACGCCAGGCCUCCCUAUCCAUCACCAACUGCCAGAGUCUAUCCAAACCCAUGUCCAUUGAGUCGGUGAUGCCAUCCAACCAUCUCAUCCAGGUCUUUAGUAUAGUUUCUAAAUUAAUUAGUUUUUUAAAUUUCUCGGUUUUAAUUCUCAGUGUGGUCCCCAUUGACUCAUAAAGCCCACAUAAACAGCUCUUUGUGGGAGGGGCCCUCUAAAUUUGUAAGGUUAUAAGAGUUCACUGAAGCCAAAAACUUGGGGAAGUUUUCUCAAAAUUCCUAGUGCAUCCAUGAAAUAGAUGAUUGGCACUUGAAGUGAUAUGUAUGAGGACAGGAAAGGUGCAGACGUCACUGUGGGCAUGUCUCAGAGGUCUGAGCUGGGAUUCCCUUCAACACUGCUGGCGGGGUAGUCCUCUCCAGGGUAAGGAGUUUAGGGGAUCAAGAUUUUUGUCUUCAUACUUUGCAGUGAUACAGGGAACAUUAUGUUUGUAACCAGAAAAAGACAUUGUCAUAAGAUAAUAUCUACUCUUAUUUUCCCCAAAGUGGACUUUGUGAAGAUUAAAAACAUGCUUUGCAAAAUCAUAAAUUACCACCUGUAUGUCAGGUUUUAUUGAAUAACAUGUAGGUUCUCACAGGGCAGGGGCUGGGUCUUCAAAUCCAUCACUGUUCUGAAGUCAGACACACACAAUAAACACGCACUUAACUCAUGUUGAAUAUACAAAUAAGUGCAUGGAUGUUUUAAAGUUACCAGUUACAUAAUUACAACUGCUGUCUGGUUGAAUUGUGUCCUCCACAGAUGUCUUGACAUCCCAGGUCUCAGGCCCUCAGAAUGUGAUCUCAUUUGAAACUAAGGUUGUUGCAAGUGUAAUUAGUUAAAUAAUGAGGUCAUGUUGAAAUCUGUGUGUGUGUGUUCCUGUCUCAGUUGUGUUUGACUCUUUGCCACUCCAUGGACUAUAGCCUGCCAGACUCCUUGGUCCAUGGGACUCUCUAGGCAAGAAUACUGGAGUGAGUUGCCAUGCCCUUCUCCAGGGGAUCUUCGUGACCCAGAGAUCAAGCCUGGGUCUGCUGCAUUAGCAAGCAGAUUCUUUACCGUCUGAGCCACCAGGCAAGCCCCCAUCUUGGAGUGGGGGCCCCUAAUUCAGACAGUGAUGUCCUGUAAGACAGACACCCAGGAAGAGGCAAAGACCUGAGUAAUGUAUCCAUAAGCCAAGGAUAGCCGGUGUCCAGCAGAGCCCCAGCUCAAGUUCCCUAUCCAUAGGGAGUCCCCGGCUCAUUAGAGCGCCAGCCACUCGCUGGGGGUGGAAAUCCAAACACUUCCUUCCCAGAGUUCGAGUCAUCACAGAGAGCUCAAGGCAGCUGGGCUUCACUAGGGAAAAAAGAGGCCAGGCCAGCUGUGCAGGGGAGUUGUCUGCAAGCUGGGUCCUGCCUGCCCGCCAGCCUGCAAGCACCCCUCUUGGACCUGUCCCCUUCCCAACAUGCUGAGUGCUGGGGACACAACCGUCUCACAGCAGGAGGGGCCCCCACACAGGCUCUGUGGGCCCCUGUCUGAUGACAAGUGGUCCAGGCCCAGGCCUGUUCUUCAGUAGCCCUGCGGGGGUUGGAGAGACUGCGUUUCCCAACAGCCAAGUCUGGGAGCCGGAGGCUGGCCUUGUCCUCUCUUUCCCUCCCCUCCCUGCCAGGCAACAACUGACUUCCACUGAGAGGAGACACUUCUGAGGCUUCAGGCCCCUGGUUGUGGCGCACUGAAGGCAUCCUAGAAGACUAACACAGCUGCGAAGAGCACAGUCACUUUUCCUCAGCAGGAAGAGAAGCAGCGUCUAGUUCGUGCACCUGUCCCAGGGACCAACUGCCAAGUUGUGAGGCUGCUCAGGCAGGCCGGUGGACAGUCUCAGUGAGGUGAGGUGGCCUCCCGCCAGCACCCAUGUGAGCCAGCUGACCUAGAAGUGGGUGCUCCUGCUGCAGGCAGCCUCCAGACAGCCAGGGCCUCCACCCUUGUCCUGACUGCAGCCUCCUGAGAGGCCCCACACCAGAAUGACCUGGCUCCUGAAUUCCUGACUUGACAAGAGACUGAGGGGAUGUUUCUUGUCCUCUGCCACUGCUUGGACUCAUUUGUUUCACAGCAAUAGAUUUCUGAUGUCUCCAUUUUACUGGAGGCUGUGUGUCCUGGAUUCCGACUUCCCCUACCUCUCCCUGGGCAGCGGAUGGAGGGGAAAUGGUCCCCACGUGAGGGCCAGAUGUGUCUGUGAACCAUAAGUUGCCCAGCAGGGCCCACAGAGCCACGGGGCACACCCUGGGAUUCCAGGACCACCCUCCCAGCCUGAGCAAGACCCACAGCCAUGGUGAGAAGGCAACUCCGAUCCCACGGUGGCAACCUAAGAGCCUGGCCCGCAGGAAGACUCAGCCCUGGGGGAGCCAGGGCAGCCUCCUCGCUCUGCCUCCACCAACUCCUGGGUCUCCAGAGGUGAAAGUUGGCGUGUGUGCUGUUUCUGUGCUUCUUUCUUAAAAUCGCCAUUGUCACAAGAACGACUCACAGU